UACGAAGGGAGCUAGCGUUGUUCGGAAUCACUGGGCGUAAAGCGCACGUAGGCGGAUGUGUCAGUCAGGGGUGAAAUCCCGGAGCUCAACUUCGGAACUGCCUUUGAUACAGCACGUCUUGAGUCCGAUAGAGGUGGGUGGAAUUCCUAGUGUAGAGGUGAAAUUCGUAGAUAUUAGGAAGAACACCGGUGGCGAAGGCGGCCCACUCGAUCGGUACUGACGCUGAGGUGCGAAAGCGUGGGGAGCAAACAGG
rnacentral:rRNA from 1 species